rnacentral:rRNA from 1 species
UACUACCUCUGUUGUAUGAACGUUCUAACUCUGAUCAGUUAUCCUGAUCGAAGACAGUGUCUGGCAGGCAGUUUGACUGGGGCGGUCGCCUCCUAAAAGAUAACGGAGGCGCUCAAAGGUUUGCUCAGAAUGGUUGGAAAUCAUUCGUAGCGUGUAAAGGCAUAAGCAAGCUUGACUGUGAGACUGACAAGUCGAGCAGGUACGAAAGUAGGACUUAGUGAUCCGGUGGUUCCGUAUGGAAGGGCCAUCGCUCAACGGACAAAAGCUACCCCGGGGAUAACAGGCUCAUCUCCCCCAAGAGUCCACAUCGACGGGGAGGUUUGGCACCUCGAUGUCGGCUCAUCGCAUCCUGGGGCUGUAGUCGGUCCCAAGGGUUGGGCUGUUCGCCCAUUAAAGCGGUACGCGAGCUGGGUUCAGAACGUCGUGAGACAGUUCGGUCCCUAUCCGUCGUGGGCGCAGGAAAUUUGAGAGGAUCUGUCCUUAGUACGAGAGGACCGGGAUGGACAUACCUCUGGUGUACCAGUUGUUCUGCCAAGAGCACCGCUGGGUAGCUACGUAUGGAUUAGAUAAUCGCUGAAAGCAUCUAAGUGAGAAACUAACCUCGAGAUGAGAUUUCCCAUUCGUCAGAAGUAAGACCCCUGAGAGACGAUCAGGUAGAUAGGCUAGAAGUGGAAGUGUAGUGAUGCAUGGAGCGGACUAGUACUAAUAGGUCGAGGACUUAACCAAG